rnacentral:pre_miRNA from 2 species
CAUAGGAUGAAUCUCAGCCCUAGAAAGUAAAUCCAAUGGCUAAGAUUCGUCAACGUAAUCACGAGUUAAAAUUUUACUCCCAAUACCUGAAAAUUUACUCUAGUAAAAUUUUUACUCCUAAAUAAAUCUGCGAGUAAAAUUUUAACUCAUGAUGACGUGGACGGAUCUCAGCCGUUGGAUUUGUUUUGGAGAGCCGAGAUUCACGCUAUG